GCUCAAAUUUGAAAUCUGGUCCCCUUUGGGGGCCCGAGUUGUAAUUUGAAGAGGAUGCUUUUGGCGAGGCGCCGUCCGAGUUCCCUGGAACGGGACGCCGCAGAGGGUGAGAGCCCCGUACGGUCGGACGCCGAGCCUCUGUAAAGCUCCUUCGACGAGUCGAGUAGUUUGGGAAUGCUGCUCAAAAUGGGAGGUAAACCCCUUCUAAAGCUAAAUACUGGCCAGAGACCGAUAGCGCACAAGUAGAGUGAUCGAAAGAUGAAAAGCACUUUGAAAAGAGAGUUAAAAAGCACGUGAAAUUGUUAAAAGGGAAGCGCUUGCGACCAGACUUGCGCCCGUCGGAUCAACCGUCGCUUGCGGCGGCGCACUCCGGCGGGCUCAGGCCAGCAUCAGUUCGUCCGGGGGGAGAAAGGCGGCGGGAA
rnacentral:rRNA from 1 species